GAGGAAACUCAGGGAAGUUAACCAACUUGUUUUUCAGGAAAUCAUAACCUCAAACACUAAUAUUUACUGAGCUGUUAUUAUGUGCCAGGCACUCUAAAAGCAUAAUUUUCGUUUACUUUUCACAACAUCCCUCUGAGUUAAGUUUAUCAUCCUUAUUUUACGGAUAAGGAAACUCAGGGAAAUUAAGCAACUUCUCGGAGGUCACAAUCUCACUUCCUGAUGGAUCCCAAAUCCUAGAGACAAUUAGUUUAGAGAGCUAGGAUUAACAGAAUUCCACUUACAGGGCCAGGUCCUCAAUUUUUGCAGUAAUUUAGUCGCUAUGGCAUAUUCUCAAGAAGCUAUUGGAGAUAGGCUCCAUAAAACAAGAAAGAGGAAGACAGAGAAUCCAGGAAACUGGGCAUCAACUCAGGAGAGACAGGAAGGAGGCAACCAGGAUGACAACUUCAAAGCAAGUCAAAGAGCAGCAAGCUCAGAUUGAGACAGCAAAAUGGUUGAGCAGAUACCUCACCAAAGAACAUUUUCACACCAGUUGCAAGACUGAGCUUGGAACCAGGAACAAGAUUAUUACUCUUUGCUAAUCUUGGCCAGGAUCUGCAGGAGGGUACCUCAAAGAAGAGGUGAGAUUGUGGAAAAGGUGAAGUGAGUUCAGUCAUUGAAGAAAGAAGUUUUUCUGGCUCCAAAAUAUGGCAACUCUACUGUAACAAAUACUAAAAAUAUGGAAGUCGUUUGGAGUUGGGUAAUGGAUAGAGGCUGGAGGAAUUUUGAAGAACGUGAUAGAAAAUGCCUAGAUUGCUUUGAACAGACUGUUAGUAGAAAUAUGGGUGUUAAAGACUGCUGGUGAGGUCUCAGAAGGCAGUGAAGAGCAUGGUAAGGAAAACCUACACAAUCUUAAAGAAUACCUAAAUCAUAAGCAAACUGUUUGUAGAAAAACAGAUGUUAAAAGCAAUGCUGGUGAGGAUUCAGAAGGAAAUAAAGAAUGUAUUUUUGGAAACUGGAGGAAAGGGGGAUAUGCAUGAAGGUAGAAAGCUUAGAUGAAUUGUCCUAUAAUUAAAUAGAAAAUAGAACUUGUAAGCAAUAACCAUGGAUAUUUAGUUGAAAUUUCCAAGCAAAGUAUUGAAGGUGUGACCUGGGUUCGUCUUGUUGCUUUCAGUAAAAUGUGAAAGAGAUAAAAUGAGAGAACUGCUACAAAAAGAAACCAGAAUUUGAUGAUUUGGGAAUUUCUCAGCCUAUCCAGAUUGCAGAAGAUGCUAAAGCUAAGAGACCCAC
rnacentral:lncRNA from 1 species